UCUGCAGAAUGAAAAAGAGGGAAAAGAAAAAGAAUGGAAAUUACAGGAGGAAGACAGUUAAUAACAGUCCAGCCACAGAUGGCAAUUAAAACCCAACUGUGGUGGCUGGCAGUAUGUAAAAGUGGGUGGUCAGACAUGAUGAAAAAUGAGUAAGCCCCAAAAGAUAGGAAUCCAAGAACUGUAAAGCUGCCGAAGAAAAUACUUCCCCUCCAGUCUUCUCAACAGAAAUUACUGGGUGUACACAGUUCACUUAAGUCCAUGUUUGAAACACAGUGUACUUCUUGACCACUUAAGUGAACUUUUUUCACAACAAUUCAACAGUGAAAUGUAAAGAAAAUGAUCACAGGGGUGUACGGUUUUAGUGGAAACCAAGAACCAGAUGUACAAAAACUUUAAUAAGGAUGUUCCUAGACUGCGUGGACCAAUUCUAAACAUAAUUGGCAGUCUCAUGCAAUUGCAUUUUCUGGGUCACCAGCAAGAAAUAAACAUGGAAAUAUUCCGAAAAGGCAAACCAGAAUUCAUGUGUCUAAACUUACUUUUUGCCAGUAAUUUUAGAGUUUAAAGUAAGCUGGAGAAAAUAACAUAAAUCAAUGUGUCUUGACUAAAUUAAAAACAUGAUCCCUUGAUGACCAUAUAGACCCUACAUUAGAAGGCCUUAGCAGUAUUCAGAAACCCUCGGCUUGACCAAGAUUCUGCUGAAGCUUCAUAAUCCACUGAGAUGACAAUUGAGACUGCCUGAGCCUGAGCCACUCAACAGCCUUGAGAGGAAAGCAAUGGGAGAUUCUUAACCAUGGAAAACAAGACUAAGUACAUAGAUUGAAAGGAUAUGGAAAACUGGUAGAGCUCUCCUUCGUAAUUGUAGAGUUAAAAUCCUCAUUUUCACUACUUAGCAGAACGCCAUAAGCUCAACUUGAGCCAGAUGAAUGGGUUAUUAUUCCUUAACCUUUUCUCUUAUUUGCUAAAAAUAUAAACAUCUACACAAGGAAGACUAUUUGUCUUAGACUGAAAAAGUGUAUUUCUCAUCUCUGGUCUCAACCCACCUCUCCCUGCCAAGCAUUUUAUAUUAGCUUUUUUCUAAUAGCUGCUUUACAAUAGCUUUUAAGAUUUUUUUCUCUGAAAACCCUCUCAUUUUGGGGUGUAAAAUUCAAGACACUCUGUGUUUUUUGUUUGUUUGUUUUUUUUUUUUUUUUUUUUACAAUCAAGCAGGACUUUCCUAUUUCCUACCACUCCCUUCUUUGAAAACUCCUUGCUGCAUGAACAUGCUGCCUGUCUUUCCUUAGCAUUUUUCCUUAGUUCAUCAAUCUCCUCUCACCUCAUCUUUUUUGGGUACUGUGAUGUAAAGAAUAGUUACCCCCAGAAAGGGAAACCUUUCCAUACAAUUUCAGAGCAUUCAUAGACCCAAGGUGUGACAGCCAGCUUCCAAGAUGACCUACUCCCCAGUGGGCCCAGUCCUCUCUCACACUGAAGAGAGAUGACCUGUGUCAAUCAUACUAGAAAAAAUGAUAGAGUGUGACUUCUGAGGCUGUGUUAUAAAAGACAUUGUCACUUCCAUCUUGCUCUUUCUUGGAUAAUCCACUCUGGGGGAAGACAGCUACCACUGUCCUAAAGACACCCAAGCAGCCCUGGGGAGAGGACCAUGUGCUAAGGCCUCACAUCAACAGUCAGCAUGAACUUCUCAGCAACAUCAAGUGACCCCAAGCCAGAAACACCCAGUUAAGCUGCUUCUGCAUUCUUGACCCACAGAAACUAGCACUGAAGAACUACUGAAGUGUAAUAAACUGCACAAAAUUUGAUCAGUUUUGCCAUUAUGUAUACUCUCCUGAGACCAUCACCAUAAUCAAGUCCCCUCAAUCACAGCAGCCUCCAAACCUUGAACACUAAGCUAUAUGUGGCCUACCCCAACAUGCCACAGAGUCUGGAGAGAGUCCAGCAGAAAACUAAGACAGCAGUGACUGCCUGGUUAUCCUGCCAGGCCUCAGCCCCCAGCUCUCCAAACAAACAUAGAAAGAAGUGUACUGGCGAAAGGACCCAGGAGUCAACCUGAAAGAGCUCCCACCAGCUAAACACAAGACAAACUAUCAGUAAAGCUAACAAAAAUAGACUGAGACACAAAUCAAUAUUAUAAACUCAAGUACUGAGUAUAUUUGUCAGUCUCUGCUACCACUGAAGAACCCAGAACUGGUAAAUAAACAGAAUCAAACAUUGCCUUUAUUGCACGAAAUCAAUCUCACAGUAACCAAAGAGUAUAUCUGCCAAAGUUUCUCUUUAUAAAAGUGUCUCAAUUAACAAAUGAAAGGAGAGAACUGAAAUGUCCCUUUUUGCCUCCCUUCAUGAAAUAAUCGAUUACUCAAAAACUACGGAUGCUCAAUUACAAAAAGAAAACCAAGUAUGUGCUUCCUCACACACAUUUGUACUACCACCUAUGAAUUAUUCUUGCUUUAAAAAAAAGA